rnacentral:rRNA from 1 species
GACGAACGCUGGCGGCGUGCCUAAUACAUGCAAGUCGAACGCAGUGGGGACGGGUGAGUAACACGUGGGCAUCCUCCCAUCAGAUGGGAUAACACUUGGAAACAGGUUCUAAACCGUUACUGAUGUAUGAACCGGCGGUGCCUUAGCUGGUUGGUGAGGUAACGGCGCACCAAGGCCACGAUGCAUAGCCGACCUGAGUGGGGGUUCGGCCACACUGGGACUGAGACACGGCCCAGACUCCUACGGUAGGCAGCAGUGGGGAAUCUUCGGCAAUGGACGAAAGUCUGACCGAGAAACGCCGCGUGAGUGAAGAAGGUUGUCGGAUCGUAAAACUCUGUUGUUAGAGAAGCGGUAUCUAACCAGAAAGCCACGGCUAACUACGUGCCAGCAGCCGCGGUAAUAC